UGGGGAAUAUUGCACAAUGGGCGCAAGCCUGAUGCAGCCAUGCCGCGUGUAUGAAGAAGGCCUUCGGGUUGUAAAGUACUUUCAGUCGGGAGGAAGGUGGUAAGGUUAAUAACCUUAUCAAUUGACGUUACCGACAGAAGAAGCACCGGCUAACUCCGUGCCAGCAGCCGCGGUAAUACGGAGGGUGCAAGCGUUAAUCGGAAUUACUGGGCGUAAAGCGCACGCAGGCGGUCUGUCAAGUCGGAUGUGAAAUCCCCGGGCUUAACCUGGGAACUGCAUUCGAAACUGGCAGGCUAGAGUCUUGUAGAGGGGGGUAGAAUUCCAGGUGUAGCGGUGAAAUGCGUAGAGAUGUGGAGGAAUACCGGUGGCGAAGGCGGCCCCCUGGACAAAGACUGACGCUCAGGUGCGAAAGCGUGGGGAGCAAACAGG
rnacentral:rRNA from 1 species